UGUUAUUGGCCUGAUUUACCAUUCCUUUUGACUAUCAAGUAUACAUAUAAGCAUUUAGAGCUUCGUCUUAAGCAAUUACUACAUCAUUUGAUUUUGGAUAUGGUAAUUGGGCUCGGGCUCAGCCUGGGCUGACUCACCUAGUUAUUUUAUUUAUUAUAUAGAAGAGCAAAGAUGGUGGACCACCGGCAUCUUUGCAAAUUUAGCUUUAUUUAAGGGCAAAAUGAUAAUUACAUCACAACAAUUAAAAUGGAGCUCCAGAAGGAUCCCUUUGUCUUUCUCAUCAGUCAUCUCCAACAAACAAAAAAAAGCACCAGCGGCUCUUUUUUUCAUCUUCUCAUCCAGAUAAGCUUUCCUUUUAAAUUUUGCUUAAAUUUUUCUUUGUUGUCUUCGAUCUUUUCAAUUUUCGGUCUACCCAUGUGACAUUGGUACUGAUUUUGCCUGUUUCUUUGUGGAACUCCAGUCUUUUUCUAAAGAAAUUAGAGAAGGUCUUAUAUCUUUAGGGCAAAGUAGUUUCUGGGUCUUGUGCAAUUUAUUGAAAUUCAGAUUGCUUUGUGAAUUUCUGGUAACUAUUAGGCAAAGAUUAGCUGGUAUUGAGCAAUACUGAAUUUAAGGGAAAUAAAUGCUGCCGAAUUUCAUGGUCACUCCCUUCAAAUAUCUGUUGCUUAUCAGAUAUCCCUUUUAGCCCUUGUUCUGAUUCGUUUAUUGCUCAAUUCAGAGUUCUCCUUAGCUUCUUACAAGUGUCAUCUCUCUGCUUUGGAGUGUUUCUUGACUCUCGUAUGCUCUUUUCUCUGUUCUUCGGGCCGCUUGGGUGAUUUGGUAUUAAAUUGGUGGCACUUUUCUUUAUUAUGUUGAUAAAUAUUUUUAGGAUUCUCACCUUAAGGUAUUGUUAGUUUAGAAAUCAAAGUCUGUAGUCUCAUGAUAUUUCUCAAAUAUUUUUAUUUAAACCCUAUAACUUACAACACAAUAAUAUAUAAAGCUUUGCACUAUAGGUAAUACCUUGCAGACUUUUAUCUAAAUCACGCAAUAAUGCAUACUUCCUCUGUAAAUGGUUCGGAAGAGCUUCUAUAUCUGAGACAAUGUCGUCAAUAUAGCAACGCAACACAGAGGAACUAAUCGAUCUAUAAUUUGUAAUGCAUCACUCUUGCAUGGACAAUACUAAAAGUCAUGCUCGAAACUAGAUAGUUUCAGCAAUUCGCCUCGCUUAGGCGGCAUUUCAAUUCAGGCCAGGCAUGCAUCGUAUCACUAAUGGGUUCUGUCAUGGAGUGAGCAGCACUAAAUAAUAACCAGUAUUUUAAAAGGCAGGGCGUUAUACUCAAUGUAGGAGGCGUAAGCCCCUCUGAUGACGAGCAGUUAAUGGAAGUGGUAUAGUUGAGUAUCAUUGUUAUGAAUCAAAAUAGCCGUGAUGCCACAUUUGGGCUUUUGGCAAAUUACAUAUGGGAUCCUGGCUGAAAAUAGAGCAUGUGCACUGCGCGUGACAGAGACCAAGGAAAUCAGGAGAUAAAUAAUAUGUUCAUUGCAUUCUAGAGUUAGGCUGAAUUUGGUAGAAACUUCCCUCUCUGGUCUCUCUCCCUCGACACUUCUCUCUGUGGCUUAGUCUUCCUUUAUCUUUUGACCCAUGAAAGGCUUUGGUCAUUUUAAAUGAGUAAUUAGCUGAAAUAUCUUUUGCUGCAGGCAUCAAGGACAUCGCUAUAUUGAUUCCUGUAGAACCAUGCUAGUAUAAGAGUUGCUAAGGUAAAUUUUUUCUAUUACAUAGAAAAGGAGAUUAAAUAGGCCACCACUUUUUACAUUCACAGAAAUAAUGUAUCAAUGCACAUGGUGUAGAAAGCAUCUAAGAAAAAAAUCAUAACAGAAGUUCUCAAUCACUAAAGAGUCAAUUUAACACAGUAAGCACAUCAUACAUGCACAACUUCACAUAGACCAGAGGAAAUAAUAGUUUGAUGAAAGUCCACUUCCAUCAAAUUUUGAAGUUGGAUAUUGUCAUGCAUGUCCAGUUAUGCAAAAUAGUGAUAUCCAAUUUACUGGGAACCUUGAGAAUUGCAUCUGGCUCACAUGUAUUCAUUUAACAAACACUAAAGAUACACAGAUAGCAUUAUCUUGAUUUUUGGUUCUCUGAGAAAUAGUAUAAUGUUUUUUAAUAAGCAGCACUUCUAAUUGUUACAUGAUAAAUAAUCUAAAAGCCAACAGACAAUUCAAUUUUUUCAUGAUUUUAGUAACAAUGGGUCACCAUAUUCAGUGCAAUAACUUCUAAGUUAAGCCCUUUCUUUGUCAUCUCAUCAUAGAAGUAACUAGCAACUUGACGCAUUCUAGUCCUGAGAAGUCCAUCAAUGACAUGUGUAGAAGACCCGGUCUGUAGGUAGAUCUCUACCCAAUGCUCUUCUCAACAGAAGAGUCACAACAACCAGUUUAUCAUGACUAUAGAAGUCAGCCAGGAAACUGGGGAGGUAUGACUAUCAGGGAGCACAUUAUCCCGAAAAAGAAAAGAUAUUAGUAAGUUGCAUAUGAGAGUUUCAAGACUAUGCCCUAUUUUGUGCAUCGUAUAUACUCUCAUUGUCAACUGUUGUAGUUAGUAUCUUAUAAUAUCAAAAUAUAUACCACUUUCGUAUAUAAAUCUUCUUCAACACAUUGUUGCAAUAAAUUAAUUGAGCACCACAUUGUGAUAUGCACAGUAGAGAACUGACAUAUAUAUUUUUUAAUUUUAAGUUAAAUGGAGAAAUGGACAACUACAUCCAAGGAUGAUUAGACAUAGGCAUCAUUAGCUUUUCAUCAUCCGCAAAAAUGAUCUCCUACUUAUUUCGUGUGCGAAACUCUUCCUGAAUUUCAAAAAUCUCCUUAAGUUACUUUAUGAGCUAAUUAUAUCCGGUCAGUAUAGUUAAAUCCAUUGCAUGACCCAUAGCUACCCAUUGUAUUUGAAUCUUCUUAAGGGAUGAAAAAUGUUUUGAUUUUUAUUGAUAUAUUUGAAGGCAGCGAUAAGCACAUAAAUAGGUAUUUACUUUGUCAUUUAAUUUUAAUACCUUAGUGUGACUUUUGGUAGAACAAAUCUGCUUACUGAGAACCUCCUUUUGUGAUGAAUGCGACUACCCUCGAAUUGUUAAUUUCUUUGAAAUCUAUGAGUUAUGCAAGUUCAGAUUGUUUUUUCACCCGUAGAUAUUUGCAUCCAAGUUCUUCGUGAAAUAUUUAAAAGAGACAUGAACUCUUUUGUAUGUUCAAAAGACUUGACGAAAAUACAAAAUUAUAUUUUAUGUUCAAUCCUCAUGCACAAUAUCAAUUGUUUAAUGUCUAAAUUAAUAUGAACUCAAUCACUAUCUGCCAUUUCAAAAAUCCAAUGUAAAUGCUUCAAAAUAUUGUGCCUUUGUAAUUUUGUAACAUUUAUGAUUAGUAAUGUAUAUCAACAAUUAUACUACUUCAGUGCACGUAAAAAUAACAUGUGCAAGCUAUCACCAAAUAUUCAGUUUACCAAAAAAGAGGGGGGGGGGGGGGGGAACAAACAACACGCUCAAGCAAUCCAACAUUAGCUUUAUUUAUUUGAUCUAAGCACAUCUCCAGGCGAAGAAAAAUGGAAAAAGACUACUAUUCAUCCAAAAAUAGAAUUUCCAUACACAAAUUGUUCUUUAAGUAAUGGAUAUAAUUUACUCAUUGCAAUAUACUUUCACUAGCUGAUUUUCUUCUAUUCAUGUACGAACAUAUUGAGUUAAGGCUUUAUACAAUAUGAGCUUCUUCUACUAAAAGUAACCUACAUUCCAUUGAUCAACUAUCCCCUGCAUAAUAGGAAUUUGUUCCAUCUUUUUGUUCACUGUAAAGAGUGUGAAAAGAGGAAGCUUGGUAGCUUUAGAGUGUCUGACCAGGCUUAAAGUUCAUUCCUUGAAUUAUUUUUCUUUAUGUUUAAAUGCUUUUUUGCAGGUGAAGGUGUGCGAUUGUGUUCUAAUGCUAAGAUUUAAGGUAACAUUUAGCACAAAAUAUGUGCGCUAUCACAUUAUGAGAUGCUCACUGAAUGCUAGUCACCUUGUGUCAUUUAUUCAUGAAGUAAAGCCACUUUAGUUUUUCUUGCACCGCAGCUUUUUAUCAUUAAUUUACUCAAUUAUUGCUAAAGUUACAUUAGUAUGUAUAUCCAUUUAAUGCUUUAGCUUAUUUUUCCAUUAGGUUACCUAAGAUGUUGGUAUUAAGCACUUGAUUUUCCUCUGCAGAUUUCUCCUGAAAGCAACAUUACCGUACCUGAUUCACAAAAUUCCUAGGCCCAAAAGCAGUGGUUUUGGGGAAUUUUUCAUAAAGCACCAUCUUUUUGGUCUAAUUAGCCAUUUAUAGAUACCUUUUGCUAUAUUACGUGUUAUAGAUACCUUUUAUGUUUUUAUACAAUAUAUUUCAUGUAUUUAAGCUGUUGUAUUCAUUAAUAUAACAAAAAAUAUAGGCGUAAAAUCUUGAAUUCCAACUAAGUUUGACAUGUAUUUAGCUGUAUUCAAGCGACAUUAACAUUAAAUACAGUAACAUAUCUGCGCUAAAAACGGAAGAAAAUAAAAUUCACAUGAUAUUCUCCUAAUUUAACU
rnacentral:lncRNA from 1 species